rnacentral:lncRNA from 1 species
CCUCUCCUUUAAUCUAAUUUCUUCCAACUCCACCUUUGUUGUUACCGGCGUCACGCCCGGACCAGCCAAUCCCCGCCACGCAAUCAGCUUGUCAAAAAGCCUCGACCAGCCCUGGGAAAGCAGCGCCAUUGCUCCUGGCUCCCAGGCUGCCAGUCUCCCACACCAACAGUGCUGCUGCCCACAUCUCGGCCAGCUGGGUCACCAGCCCCUUUGGACUCUCUCCUGGCACACAACCUUCUCCAUCCUCACACAACGGCUUCGCUCCUGCCAUAAUUCCUCUUGUCUCCCGGGAGAAAUGAGAUUCGUUUCCCAGGACUUCCACAGCCCACAUCUGCCACGUUUCACAAACAGGGAGGAAAACCCUGUCAGGAUCUGGUGUGUCCGGAAUUUUUAGUGGGCAGGGCUUGUAGGAGAGGCUCAUUUACCUUGACGCUAAUGAAGCGCAAGAUGCAGGGCCCCUCGUUUGCAGCACCUGGCCAAGGCCCUGGACUUCGUUGUGAUCCAUCCUUUGGUAUUGUUUUUGUUAAAAGAGCUUCCCCACUACCCCAGUUGUACAAGCUUCAGCCCCACAAACCCAGCUGUGCUCUUGGAACAUACACAGGGCGUUUUGUGUAGGUCAAGCCUCCUUGCUCUGCACUUGGAGCAGAGCAGGGACUGACUUUCUUGUCUCGAGUGGGAAACAGCAAAGGGUUUGGAGUCAGAAGUCCCAGCCUCCCAGCCUCUCAGCUUUCCCACCUGCUUAAUAGCGUGUGAGUUUGAUCACGUUUCUUAAACUCCCCUGGUUCCAGUUUCCUUGUCUAUACAAUUAGAAUAGCGAUCCCCUGUUCUCUGCUUUGCUCAGGAGUUGGAAGGUCAAGUGAGAUGAUGUAUGUAAAACUGCAAAAUACUCCACAUUGUCACUUUCCACAAUUACAAUGGGAGAGACUUAGGCCCCCAAGAAAGUUCCAAAUCUUCCACACACAGAUCUGGAGUCCAGGUGUCCUGGCUCCUAGCUCUGAACUUUUUGGCUGGGCUAAGAGGCCUUUCGGUAAAAUGCUUUGGAAUAAAACAGAAUGAACAUGAAUCAU